UUCCCACCCCUGCUUUGCUAUUUUUGUACCUCCGUGACAGAAAAACAAAACCCUGAGGAAAAGUCAGGCGACUUCAUUCCCUGCCGUCCGCGCCGGGGCCUCGACUACUGCUGGCGUCCGCGGCUUUCGCCCACCGCUCCACAGGUGGAUAAAACCUCGUAUGCAUCAACUACCUCUCUUUCAAGAUGGAAUUUUCAGAACACAUGGUCUGGGAUUGGAGCUGGAGCUUGGAAAUAUUGAGUGGGUGAGAAAGACUUCAUUGUUUUGUGACAGAUUAUUGUGAAAACAGCCCACUUCUGCCUGAAGAUCCAAGCCCAAGGCCUUCCUGGCCCCAGGGAUUUUGGGAUUCUUAAGAGCAAAAGAAGGAAAGAAAACAUGAGAGACUUUGGUACUGGGUACAAGCAUGAAAAGAGAAGGAUUGGUAAAAAAUAUCUCUUGGGAGCUCCUGCUGUGAUGCGAGGGUUAGUCCUGCCAUCCCAGGGCAAACUUCAUAAAAGAGGUCAGAUCCAAAGAUUGCAGAAGCCAGAAGAGACACUGCAUCCUUCCUGGUUAGGCCUGGUUAUGCCAGCUUCCUGGACUCUGCUGGCUGGUUGCCUCAAUCCAUGCCUCAGAUUGGGUGGAGUCUACAGAUUGAGGGCAAAUCCCACCUCCUCCCAACCCCCACCACUAGGCCUAUCUGCAAGACAGAAAAGAGCAGCAAGAAAUCUCAGGGAUUUUCUUUGAUUACUCAGAGGGAAAUAGUUUUCAUACUCAGAGACUGAUAGGCAGUCAAUAACAUUUGCUUUGUGAAUUUUCACCCAGCUACUUCUGGAUGAGAUAAUCACCUUUGCUGCUAAAGAAAAUCUUAGCUCAUUUUCUUCUUGGGGUGAUGCUAUAAGAGUUGAUAAACAAUUUAUAAGUAUUUAUCAUCUGGCAUAUUUAACAAAAUAUCUUUGUGAUCCAUAAAGCAAGGCAUAAAUUACAUUUGAAAGUGCAUUCCAUUAAACAAGAACAUUAGAGAGAAAGAGAGAGAGAGAGACACUUUGGACCUUGAUCUGUUCCAAUGACAUAGAAACUUGCUUUACAGAUUGGCUUUCUCCUAGUGCACUAUUGCAAAAUUAGAGCUAUACUAGAAACAUCCUUAGAGUUUGAUAAUUGAAUUACAGUGGGGAAAAAUAAGGUUUAUAUUUCUUAACUAUACCUUUGAAUUUCUUACUACUACAGAGGAUAAUUUUCCUGGUCCCUGGGGUUAGUGGUGAAAAACUCAUUGUUUUAUUAAAUUCAUGCCUCAUUCUUGUGACCCCAGAUUUUCGAAUUUGAAUAGGAAUGCAGUCAAGGGGUGAAUUCUGACAUCUUCAUUCUUUACUUAGCUCUUAAAAGCCAAGAUACUUUAUACUACUUGUUUAUACUAAUCUUUGAUCACAAUAUAUUUACAUUGCUGGCAAGUAAAGUCUCUUAAUAAAAUAGCAGCAAAUAUUAGCUCUUCAUUCAAAAUUGUUAUUAUUCGGGAGUACUAUACAUGGUCUCUUACAUUAGGAUUUAUGAAAGUAGGAAUUAAUUAUGUUUAUUUAAUUCAAACAAGUGUUUUUCUCAAAGUAAUGAGUGUUAUGAAGGGAGCUUAUUUGACCACAUACAACCCUGAGAUUCUUAUCUUUUUGGCAAAUAGCACUAACUGUGGAAAAGCUUAAGAUUAGUGGGGUUGUCUGUUUCCCCACACGUUGAGUUGAUGAUAGGUUAUAAUAAAAAUAUCAGACCAAAUUCUGCCACUUAUAUAGGCAUGUAUUAAACAUGUAUUUGUAAGCAAGUAUACAACAGUUGAUAGAACAAGAUAAAAACCUAGCUCUCUGUCCUCUUUAGUGCUCUAAUGACUUCAAGCUGGCUCAACAAUAUUCCAGAGGCAAGAUUCUAUUACUCUUAUAGUUAGCAUCGGAAAUCCAAUGGAUGGACACUGGAUUCUUUGAGGAUCAAGCUUGAGGUGCCAAGCAUGGGAUGCAUUUCUGAAAUAUUUGAGUUUAAUCGUAUAUCUUGAAUACCACUUAUUAUUCCAGUGAGAUCUGAUGGAUGAUUAACUUAUUGAACAAGUCACUAAUUUUACCAAUGAAAAUAUAUUUCUGAUAUUUACUUUGCUAAUUAGCAAGACAUCUGGGUUUGGUAUACACAUCUGGUGAGAGAUGAAGGGCAGAAAUUGAGGCACAGAAACAAUAAGUGGUUUCCCUUAAGAUCAGAUAGCUAGUAAGUGUCUCAGCUUGUUUGUGCAUCCCACAGUGAGGAGCCUGUGUUUUUUUAAAUCUCUCUGGAUUAGUUGUGCUGGUAAGUUCUCUAGAAGCAACUUGACUCCACUGUUUUGAGGGCAGAAAUAAAAUGAACAGGCUAUAAUUGAGGUUGUAGAAGAGAUAAAAGAAAAUCUGUGAUGCAAGUAACUACACAGAGUCCUGUCUGUGAAAUGCAGGAGGCUGUCCAUAACUAAAGGCAUCUACCUUUAGAAAGGCAGUAUCAGAUUGUCACUUAUCUUGAUGGUCAUGAGAUAGGGAUGUUCUGGUUAAUAAAAUAUUCUAGUUAGUAGAGAUUCUCAGUAGACUCUAUACUCUAAUUUCUCAUUUAAAAGAAAUUGGACUGUUACAAAAUAAACAUGACAUGAACCCAGAAUUUAACUUACUAUUUUCUUACUGUUAUCCCAAAGACAUUACAUGAUAUUGAACACUUUGAGGUAAUUAUGGUACUGGGGGAGCAUAAUUGUUCCUACUAAUAGAAACAAAAUACUAAGGAUUUUUCUAGAAACUCUCCUUUCAAAAGCCAUUUACCUGGCUAAGGAUUUUUCUAGAAACUGUCCUUUCAAGAGCCAUUUACCUGGAAUAAAAGUGAUGUGUAUGAUAAACAGUUGGCUAUACAGACCCAAGAUGAAAUUCAAAAUAUGACUUCUGAAAAUUCUGAAUUCAAAAUCAAGUUUUUGAUACUUUAGGAUCAGCUAGAUGAUCAUCAUAAAUUUGUCUCCUUUCCACUUCAAUUUUUUUUCAUCUUCACCAAUCUACACUAUAUUCAAGCCAACUUACCAUUUCCCUUACUCCGUUUUCCCUGCAACUUCCCUAAGCUGUUAGUGUUAUUGUACUACUCUUCUUUAUGCCACUUAGGCUUGAAUUCUUGGCCCAAUUUCUUUCACUUCUGCAUGAAGUCACCAAAUGCCAGUGAUUCUGCUUCUAACAUAUUUCAGACAUCAUUUCUGUCCAUUCCCACUACCAGAAAGAAACUCUGUAUUAGUUUUUCUUUUACCUUUAUUGACCUUUUAUAAUAGCAUUUAUGGUGUGUUGAAUUGUGGACCCCCAAAAAUAUGUCCAAGUCUUAACCCUGGUGCCCAUAAAUGUGACCUUAUUUGGGAAAAGAGUCUCACAGAUGAAAUUAAGUUAAAGAUCUUACCCUGGAUUAACCAGGUAGAUGCUAAAUCGAAUAAAAAAGUGUCUGUACAGGAAGAGAAGAGGAAAAUCACAGAGAAGAAAGCCAUGUGAAGAUGGUAACAGACACUGGAGUCUGUAACCCCAAGUGUAAAGCGACGGGUUCUCCACCAGGUUACUUAAGGGUGUAUGUCCACUGCUUGAGCCCUGAAGACUGGGUGGUGAGCCAAGGUCUUAGUGCUCAGCCAAGGAACACCAUGUGCUGUGUUCCCUGAGAACACAAACAUUUGGGAGAGUACCUGGGGACAUACCAAGAAAAACACUCAUCACACACAGAGAAGAAAAGCCAGAAAAUUAGCUUAAAAGCAGCUUGAAGAUGGGUGGGGUAAGGGGGUGUGUGGGGCAAAUCUCCAGAGUUGUCCUGCUACCACCUAGGAAUGCCCUGUAUGUUAAGUCCUAAUAAACUCA
rnacentral:lncRNA from 1 species